rnacentral:rRNA from 1 species
CACGUAGGGGGCAAGCGUUGUCCGGAUUUAUUGGGCGUAAAGAGCGUGUAGGCGGCCUGACAGGUCUGCUGUGAAAACUCGAGGCUCAACCUCGAGAUGUCGGCGGAAACCGUCUGGCUAGAGUCCGGAAGAGGAGAGUGGAAUUCCUGGUGUAGCGGUGAAAUGCGCAGAUAUCAGGAAGAACACCCGUGGCGAAGGCGGCUCUCUGGGACGGUACUGACGCUGAGACGCGAAAGCGUGGGGAGCGAACAGG